GGAGUUGUUUGUUGAAACCAUAGCCAAAGAUGCUUACGUGUACGCUCAGCAAGGAAAAAGGAAAACUCUGCAGAGAAAAGACCUGGAUAAUGCUAUUGAAGCUAUUGAUGAAUUCGCUUUUUUGGAAGGUACUUUGGACUAAGUUGGAUAGAGACGGAGCUAUGUGGAGAAAGAGACUGCAGAGUUGGACGUGGGGUGGAAAAGAGGACGUUGAGAGUUCAAAAAUAGUUCCUAGAAUUGAGACACUGAAAUGGCAACCAUAAUAUUUUAUAUGAAGUUUAAGUUGUUUUAAGUUCUUUAUUUAAAAUGCAUAUUUUUUCAUAAAUAUUUUGUAUGUCACUUGACUGUGCCCUGCCACCAUGGUGCAGACUGCUCUCCAGCUUUGGCCAGGUCACACGGCAGUUGCUCAGAGUAGCGGUCCCUGCCUCUCCAGGUACUCUGCAGCACCCCAAAGCUGUGAAUAGAGGGUGGCUCGGCUCAGAUGCCCAGGCAUGGUGGAUUUUUUUUUUUUAAUGGAGAUGUAUUUUUCUUUGUAUAUGUUUGU